AUAUGAUCAUACGGUAAGUUCUAUAAUAAAUGAUCUUCAAAAAUGUAAAACAGGUACACAAUUCUGAUCACCCUCUUUAUUUCUCUAGAAUGCAACUCUUAACUUUUUUCGAAAUUCAAACAACAUAUAAUAUGUAGCUUACAUAACAGAGAGGCACUAGCCAAAACUCAGCAACAUCUCAAAGGACUAUUGCAAUCCUUAUUAAAGCCCACAGGGCAAAGAUAUUACUACUCUAUAUAUAUAUAUAUAUAUAUAUAUAUAUAUAUAUAUAU
rnacentral:lncRNA from 1 species